GGAAACUGCCUGAUGGAGGGGGAUAACUACUGGAAACGGUAGCUAAUACCGCAUAACGUCGCAAGACCAAAGAGGGGGACCUUCGGGCCUCUUGCCAUCGGAUGUGCCCAGAUGGGAUUAGCUAGUAGGUGGGGUAACGGCUCACCUAGGCGACGAUCCCUAGCUGGUCUGAGAGGAUGACCAGCCACACUGGAACUGAGACACGGUCCAGACUCCUACGGGAGGCAGCAGUGGGGAAUAUUGCACAAUGGGCGCAAGCCUGAUGCAGCCAUGCCGCGUGUAUGAAGAAGGCCUUCGGGUUGUAAAGUACUUUCAGCGGGGAGGAAGGGAGUAAAGUUAAUACCUUUGCUCAUUGACGUUACCCGCAGAAGAAGCACCGGCUAACUCCGUGCCAGCAGCCGCGGUAAU
rnacentral:rRNA from 1 species